rnacentral:rRNA from 1 species
AACACGCUGGCGGCGUGCCUAACACAUGCAAGUCGAACGAGAAAGUGGAGCAAUCCAUGAGUACAGUGGCGUACGGGUGAGUAACACGUGACUAACCUACCCUCGAGUGGGGAAUAACUUCGGGAAACCGAGGCUAACACCGCAUAACAUCUACGGAUCAAAUGCGCAAGCAGCUUGAGGAGGGGGUCGCGGCUGAUUAGCUAGUUGGCGGGGUGACGGCCCACCAAGGCAAUGAUCAGUAGCCGGCCUGAGAGGGCGCACGGCCACACUGGAACUGAAACACGGUCCAGACUCCUACGGGAGGCAGCAGUGGGGAAUUUUGCGCAAUGGGGGAAACCCUGACGCAGCAACGCCGCGUGGAGGAUGAAGCCCCUUGGGGUGUAAACUCCUUUCGAUCGGGACGAUUAUGACGGUACCGGAUGAAGAAGCACCGGCUAACUCUGUGCCAGCAGCCGCGGUAAUACAGAGGGUGCAAGCGUUGUUCGGAAUUAUUGGGCGUAAAGGGUGCGUAGGCGGUGCGGUAAGUCUUCUGUGAAACCUCCGGGCUUAACUCGGAGCCUGCA